rnacentral:pre_miRNA from 1 species
UACAUACUUCCUCCGUUUCAAAUUACUCGUCGCAGAAAUAGAUGUAUCUAGAAUUAAAAUACAUUUAGAUAUAUUUAUAACUGCGACAAAUAAUUCGGAACAGAGGAAGUACAUG